rnacentral:rRNA from 1 species
GACGAACGCUGGCGGCGUGCUUAACACAUGCAAGUCGAACGCUGAAGCCCAGCUUGCUGGGUGGAUGAGUGGCGAACGGGUGAGUAACACGUGAGUAACCUGCCCCCUUCUUUGGGAUAACGCCCGGAAACGGGUGCUAAUACUGGAUAUUCACUGGCUUUCGCAUGGGGGUUGGUGGAAAGGUUUUUUCUGGUGGGGGAUGGGCUCGCGGCCUAUCAGCUUGUUGGUGGGGUGAUGGCCUACCAAGGCUUUGACGGGUAGCCGGCCUGAGAGGGUGACCGGUCACAUUGGGACUGAGAUACGGCCCAGACUCCUACGGGAGGCUGCAUUGGGGAAUAUUGUACAGUGGGUGAAAUCUUC